rnacentral:rRNA from 2 species
UGCAGUCGAGCGGAGUUUUGAAAAGCUUGCUUUUCAAAACUUAGCGGCGGACGGGUGAGUAACACGUGGGCAACCUGCCCUUGAGACGGGGAUAACUCCGGGAAACCGGAGCUAAUACCGGAUAACACAUAUCUUCGCAUGAAGAUAUGUUAGAAGGUGGCUUUUAGCUACCACUCAAGGAUGGGCCCGCGGCGCAUUAGCUAGUUGGUGAGGUAACGGCUCACCAAGGCGACGAUGCGUAGCCGACCUGAGAGGGUGAUCGGCCACACUGGGACUGAGACACGGCCCAGACUCCUACGGGAGGCAGCAGUAGGGAAUCUUCCGCAAUGGACGAAAGUCUGACGGAGCAACGCCGCGUGAGUGAUGAAGGUUUUCGGAUCGUAAAGCUCUGUUGUUAGGGAAGAACAAGUACCUGUUGAAUAAGCAGGUACCUUGACGGUACCUAACCAGAAAGCCACGGCUAACUACGUGCCAGCAGCCGCGGUAAUACGUAGGUGGCAAGCGUUGUCCGGAAUUAUUGGGCGUAAAGCGCGCGCAGGCGGUUCCUUAAGUCUGAUGUGAAAGCCCACGGCUCAACCGUGGAGGGUCAUUGGAAACUGGGGAACUUGAGUGCAGAAGAGGAGAGCGGAAUUCCACGUGUAGCGGUGAAAUGCGUAGAGAUGUGGAGGAACACCAGUGGCGAAGGCGGCUCUCUGGUCUGUAACUGACGCUGAGGCGCGAAAGCGUGGGGAGCGAACAGGAUUAGAUACCCUGGUAGUCCACGCCGUAAACGAUGAGUGCUAAGUGUUAGAGGGUUUCCGCCCUUUA